AUUGAACGCUGGCGGCAUGCCUUACACAUGCAAGUCGAACGGCAGCACGGGAGCAAUCCUGGCGGCGAGUGGCGAACGGGUGAGUAAUACAUCGGAACGUGCCCAAUCGUGGGGGAUAACGCAGCGAAAGCUGUGCUAAUACCGCAUACGAUCUACGGAUGAAAGCAGGGGAUCGCAAGACCUUGCGCGAAUGGAGCGGCCGAUGGCAGAUUAGGUAGUUGGUGAGGUAAAGGCUCACCAAGCCUUCGAUCUGUAGCUGGUCUGAGAGGACGACCAGCCACACUGGGACUGAGACACGGCCCAGACUCCUACGGGAGGCAGCAGUGGGGAAUUUUGGACAAUGGGCGAAAGCCUGAUCCAGCCAUGCCGCGUGCAGGAUGAAGGCCUU
rnacentral:rRNA from 1 species